rnacentral:rRNA from 1 species
AUUGAACGCUGGCGGCAGGCCUAACACAUGCAAGUCGAGCGAGCGUCGCACGGGUGAGUAAUGUAUGGGGACUGCCCCAUAGAGGGGGAUCACCACUGGAAACGGUGUCUAAUACCGCCUACUGUCGGAUAACCCAUAUGGGAUUAGCUAGUAGGUAAGGUAACGGCUUACCUAGGCGACGAUCCCUAGCUGGUCUGAGAGGAUGAUCAGCCACAAUGGGACUGAGACACGGCCCAGACUCCUACGGAGGCAGCAGUGGGGAAUAUUGCACAAGGGGCGCAAGCCUGAUACAGCCAUGCCGCGUGUAUGAAGAAGGCCCUAGGGUUGUAAAGUACGUUCAGUCGGGAGGCGUUACCGACAGAAGAAGCACCGGCUAACUCCGUGCCAGCAGCCGCGGUAAUUC